AGUGAACGCUGGCGGCGUGCCUAAUACAUGCAAGUCGACCGGAGUGGAGCACGGGUGCGUAAUGUAUAGCUAAUCUGCCCUACACUAGAGGACAACAGUUGGAAACGCCUGCUAAUCCUCUAUAGUGUAGGAUGAGGCUAUAUUGUAUCAGCUAGUUGGUUAGGUAAUGGCUCACUCAGGCUAUGAGGCAUAACUGGUCUGAGAGGAUGAUCAGUCACACUGGAAGGGAGACACGGUCCAGACUCCUUCGGGAGGCAGCAGUAGGGAGUAUUGCUCAAUGGGGGAAGCCCGUAAGCAGCAACGCCGCGUGGAGGAUGAUACUUUGCGGAGCGUAAACUCCUUCUGUUAGGGAAGCGGUACCUAACGAAUAAGCACCGGCUAACUCCGUGCCAGCAGCCGCGGUAAUUC
rnacentral:rRNA from 1 species